UCAAUCUUAUUGUAUCCCUUGGCCUUUGACCCAACCACAAAUAUAUAUCUAUUUAGAUAUAUAUUUUAGAUAUAUAUUUGUGGUUGGGUCAAAGGCUGAGGGAUACAAUAAGAUUGA